GCGGUUGUUCUGUUAUAGCAUUUGUUAACACUCCAUUAAUUCAGGCUGGGAGUGUCUAUUUAGGACAGAGACCAGACAGAAAACCUCGAGGAGUUCUGUAAUCAAGAGAGCCCCCAAUCUAUCAGUGGUUUCCAAGGGUAUUUCAGUUCUUGGCUGGAAGGAAUUAAAUUACACAAGGUACGGAUGCAACCAGGCUUGGAUGAGAUCACAAUGACGGGGUGGAAGAACCUGAAGCAACGGCUGUCAUUCAAGGGCCUGGGUAGUUGCUGUGGGAGCGCAAGCUGGAGUUCCAGAAGUAUCACCCAAACCAUGCCCUUUAUCGAUAUAGAGCAAGAAGAAGAGGAAGAGCCCAUCAUGCAAAACCAAGCUCAAAGAGGAGGAGCAGCAGCAGCAGCGCCAGGUGCUGGGAUGAAUCUGGCAAUGGCAUUAGCUGCUGAGCGCAAUUUAGGGGAUUCAAAUGUCAAGACAUUGAUGAGUUUGAUCGAAGAAACGGACGGUGUUGAUUGGGGGAAGAAGAAUAACAGUAAUGAUAAAAGUAGGAGGGACAAGGAACAGGAACAGAAGCAGGAUGAAGAGAAGGAUUGGGUAUGCUGCGUUUGCAUGGAGAGAAAUAAAGGCGCAGCUUUUAUUCCAUGUGGACACACCUUUUGUAGGGUUUGUUCAAGGGAAAUGUGGGUUAAUCGAGGGUGCUGUCCUAUCUGCAACCGUUCCAUUCUCGACAUCCUUGAUAUCUUCUAGUAAUCAGCAGAGGCUGAGAAGAUUCUUUCAAUGUCUUGUCUUCGAGUUCAAACCCAGGCAUGCCGAAUUAUUUAAGAGAUGAGCCGGCAGAGUUUGAUAUUUACUGGCCUUUGGUGAGCAAUCUAGUCAAUUGCCGAGUGUCAAGUGCCUAAUACAUGAUGCAUGCAGCAGCACAUUAAUUUAUAAUUGAGCCGCUGCGGUUCUGUUUGUAGCGUGCUCUCUUACAGGC